CAGUGAAAUUGAACUCGCUGUGAAGAUGCAGUGUACCCGCGGCAAGACGGAAAGACCCCGUGAACCUUUACUAUAGCUUGACACUGAACAUUGAGCCUUGAUGUGUAGGAUAGGUGGGAGGCUUUGAAGUGUGGACGCCAGUCUGCAUGGAGCCGACCUUGAAAUACCACCCUUUAAUGUUUGAUGUUCUAACGUGGACCCGUAAUCCGGGUUGCGGACAGUGUCUGGUGGGUAGUUUGACUGGGGCGGUCUCCUCCUAAAGAGUAACGGAGGAGCACGAAGGUUGGCUAAUCCUGGUCGGACAUCAGGAGGUUAGUGCAAUGGCAUAAGCCAGCUUGACUGCGAGCGUGACGGCGCGAGCAGGUGCGAAAGCAGGUCAUAGUGAUCCGGUGGUUCUGAAUGGAAGGGCCAUCGCUCAACGGAUAAAAGGUACUCCGGGGAUAACAGGCUGAUACCGCCCAAGAGUUCAUAUCGACGGCGGUGUUUGGCACCUCGAUGUCGGCUCAUCACAUCCUGGGGCUGAAGUAGGUCCCAAGGGUAUGGCUGUUCGCCAUUUAAAGUGGUACGCGAGCUGGGUUUAGAACGUCGUGAGACAGUUCGGUCCCUAUCUGCCGUGGGCGCUGGAGAACUGAGGGGGGCUGCUCCUAGUACGAGAGGACCGGAGUGGACGCAUCACUGGUGUUCGGGUUGUCAUGCCAAUGGCACUGCCCGGUAGCUAAAUGCGGAAGAGAUAAGUGCUGAAAGCAUCUAAGCACGAAACUUGCCCCGAGAUGAGUUCUCCCUGAGACUUAGAGUCUCCUGAAGGAACGUUGAAGACGACGACGUU
rnacentral:rRNA from 1 species